rnacentral:tRNA from 1 species
GGGUUCGUGGCGCAGCAUGGAUAGCGCGGUAGCCUCCUAAGUUACAGGUCGAGGGAUCGAAGCCCUCCGAACCCG